UGUGCCACCCAGGUGCCCCUUCCUCAAACUUUCUAUCAUCUAUCAUCAUCAGUUUAGGUUCAUGUUUUCUACUUUAUUCAAUGGAAUAGAUUUAUUGUAAUUUGUUACAAUUCAUUGUAACUUGCUACUUCAUUUUUUAUUUUGAUGCGCUGAUUUUUCUAGGUUUGGCCUCGGGGCUGUUCAAGAUGCCUCCAAAUACUCUUGACUCUCUGUCAUUCUUUCAAACAAUUUGUUGUUUAGGUGGGUAGCUAAGUAUCUUUUACUUAAGGACUGAAUUAGGUAUAGACAGGAUUUAAGUUAACUGCAUUUGCUCAGGAGACGGUAUUUUGUGUUAAAAUGAAACCCCCACAGAACCUGAGCAGGUGCCAACGCGAGCGCCAGGUCACCAACGCGAGCGCUUGCGGCGCAGCUGCACCAUCGGUUCCGUGUUUUUCUCCAUUACGAGACUAUAAUGAGAAACUGAAGCUUUGAAUAACAUUUUUUGUCAUUCUUAUUUUUUAGUUUAUUUUAAAAAUCUGUAUCUUUGCUGUUCCGUGAAACGUGGUUAGUAGUUCCGCAAGUUCUUCUGCCGCCGCAGGGAACAGGCUGCGAGGGUAAGUGGUUCUUGGGGCGCCUGGCGGCGAGCGCCUGCCCCUCGGGGCUCCCGCGCGGGGCCAUCCAGCCCUGGUUUGCAGGCUCCUCGGCACAGGCUUCCGGGCCGUUCCCUGGGACCUGCCUGGACCCCGUCUGGUGGGAUGGCCAGGUGGGCGUGGGUCUGUCUCGCUUCUGCCCACAGGAGGGCAGCAUCUCGUCAAGGCUCGGGCCCCACCAGGAGCCUGGCGGUCUGGGAGUUUGAAAACACCUGGUUUCUCCCCGAAAUGAAGAGAGUACUAAAGUACUCCACCCGUGAGGAAACCCUCCGUAAACUAACACACGGCGUCGUCUGUCCACGCUCUCGUCCACGUGCUCCGGGGACGAUGACCUCUGUCGGGCAAAUGACAUGAUGGCUUAGGGCCACAGCCCCCACUCCGCAGUGACUCUGUGGGGCUAGCGUUUGUAGGAGCUGAACUGAGCAGGCGCUGGAAUCAUUCACUCGUCUCGUGCACAGGUCAUCAGGGGCAAGGAGUUGUCAGACGAGUAAACUGAGGCACAGAGGCCUAACUACUCGCCUCACGACACAGCCCAGGAAGGGGGACUGGCGUGCUGACGCUGCUUAGCCCAACUCCAAGCCCCCGCUCUGUCCACUGCACCGUUCUCAAGGAAAAAGGGAAUGAAUCUGUACUUGGGGGAUUUUCUGAAUCGUAUGGCUCCAAAAAUAUGACACAACUCCAGCGUGAUGCUUUCACUUUGUAAGAGUUUAGCUGUGACAGUCCGUCUUUGCAAUCCCUCUGGCGCUCGAGCAAGGAAGGAGGCUGCCGGAGCAGACAGGCAGGUGCGCUGCUGCGUGAGGGACGCGAGGCUUUGCGCGACUCAUGUCAAAUUCAAAUGUCUUUGGAAACGAAAUAUCGAUGUUAUAGGUAUUUUAAUCACCGAACUCCAACUCUGAAACUAGAAUAGGACAUGAAAAUAAGGCACAAGUAAGUAAUUAUAAAAUCCAUUAGCUUGCCACGGAGAGAGAAGACACAGUCUGUCCAUGGAAAUAAAUGAGAGAAUAAAAGCUGGUAGGCUUCCUCCAGGAGUGAAUCAGCAAAUUAAGGGCUCGGCUCCAGGCCCCAGCCGUGGAGUCGCUGUGCGUCGGCCCAUGGUAUACGAAAACCUGUUCUAUAUUUAUUAGUCAGGCACAACUUGCCUCUCCACCCCACCCCCGAUUUUAUAUGAAAAAUUAAACCUGAUCUCUCAGAGGCA